rnacentral:rRNA from 1 species
UACGUAGGGGGCGAGCGUUGUCCGGAAUUAUUGGGCGUAAAGAGCGUGUAGGCGGUUCGGUAAGUCUGCCGUGAAAACCUGGGGCUCAACCCCGGGCGUGCGGUGGAUACUGCCGGGCUAGAGGGUGGUAGAGGCGAGUGGAAUUCCCGGUGUAGCGGUGAAAUGCGCAGAUAUCGGGAGGAACACCAGUAGCGAAGGCGGCUCGCUGGGCCACACCUGACGCUGAGACGCGAAAGCUAGGGGAGCGAACAGG